rnacentral:rRNA from 1 species
UGUACGAAAUCAAAUCGAUGUGCAGUCUGGCCUGCCCCCUGAAGUUUUUAAAGGGCCGCGGUAUUUGGACCGUGCUAAGGUAGCAUAAUAAAUAGUCUUUUAAUUGAAGUCUAGUAUGAAUGGUCGGACAUGAAGUAAGCUGUUUUAAUUUUGAUGUUUGAAUUUUACUUUUAAGUGAAAAGGCUUAAAUUUAAUGGUGGGACGAUAAGACCCUAUAAAGCUUUACGUUUUAUUCUUCAGCUGCGGGGGUUAGGGUUCCUUAUUCUUAUAGAAUAUAACGUUUCGUUGGGGCGACGGGAAUAUAAAAUGGUAACUGUUUUAUUUUAAAAAUACGUCUUUGUAGGAGAGUUGAUCCUUUUUAGAGAUUAUAAGAUUUAAGUUACUUUAGGGAUAACAGCGUAAUUUAUCUUGAGAGUUCAUAUCGACAGAUGUAGUUGCGACCUCGAUGUUGAAUUAAAGUGCCCCCCAGGUGUAGCAGUUUUGGUGGUAGGUCUGUUCGACCUUUAAAAC